UGAGUACGAGAUGCUACGGCAUCGAAGCAGUCUAUGUCAUACUUCCAAGAAAAGCUUGCACUGUCAUAAACAAAGAAUGCCUGUACCAUAACCGACACAGGUGGGUAGGUAGAGUAUACUAAGGGGCGCGAGAUAACUCUCUCUAAGGAACUCGGCAAAAUGACUCCGUAACUUCGGGAGAAGGAGUGCCUUAUUUCUAAGGUUGCAAUAACAAGAUCCAAGCAACUGUUUACCAAAAACACAGGUCUCCGCUAAGUCGUAAGACGAUGUAUGGGGGCUGACGCCUGCCCAGUGCCAGAAGGUUAAAGAAGUUGGUUAGCAUUAGCGAAGCUGAUAACUGAAGCCCUGGUGAACGGCGGCCGUAACUAUAACGGUCCUAAGGUAGCGAAAUUCCUUGUCGGGUAAGUUCCGACCCGCACGAAAGGCGCAAUGAUUUGGAUACUGUCUCGGAGAGGGGCUCGGCGAAAUAGACUUGUCUGUGAAGAUGCGGACUACCUGCACCUGGACAGAAAGACCCUAUGAAGCUUUACUGUAACUUGAGAUUGAAAUUGGACUUUAUUUGCGCAGUAUAGGUGGGAGGCGUUGAGAAUAAUCUUGCGGGAUUGUUGGAGCCAUCAGUGAGAUACCACUCUUGUAAUGUUAGAUUUCUAACUUUGUAUCAUUAUCUGGUCAAAGAACAGUUUCAGGCGGGCAGUUUGACUGGGGCGGUCGCCUCCCAAAGGGUAACGGAGGCGCACAAAGGUUUCCUCUGAACGGGUAGAAAUCGUAUCUAGAGUGUAAAGGCAUAAGGAAGCUUGACUGUGAGACCUACAAGUCGAGCAGGGACGAAAGUCGGUCUUAGUGAUCUGACGGUGCUGAGUGGAAAGGCCGUCACUCAACGGAUAAAAGUUACUCUAAGGAUAACAGGCUGAUCUCCCCCAAGAGUUCACAUCGACGGGGAGGUUUGGCACCUCGAUGUCGGCUCAUCGCAUCCUGGGGCGGUAGUCCGUCCCAAGGGUUGGGCUGUUCGCCCAUGAAAGCGGUACGCGAGCUGGGUUCAGAACGUCGUGAGACAGUUCGGUCCAUAUCCGGUGUAGGCGUUAGAAUAUUGAGAGGAGCCUUCUCUAGUACGAGAGGACCGAGAAGGACAUACCUCUGGUGUACCAGUUAUCGUGCCAACGGUAAACGCUGGGUAGCUAUGUAUGGAGUGGAUAACCGCUGAAAGCAUCUAAGUGGGAAGCCCGCCUCAAGAUAAG
rnacentral:rRNA from 1 species